AGCUACGGCCGCGUGGCGCGUUGGUACACCCGAUCCCUCGAUCUCGGAAGUUAAACAACGCGCGGUCCGGACAGUACUUGGAUGGGAGUCCCCCAACCAAGGACGUCCGGAUUGCUGUAGCCU
rfam:Branchiostoma floridae genomic scaffold BRAFLscaffold_101, whole genome shotgun sequence.